UACGUAGGGGGCGAGCGUUGUCCGAAGUUACUGGGCGUAAAGCGCCGCGUAGGCGGGGAGGCAAGUCCGCUGUGAAAGCCUGGAGCUUAACUCCAGAGGGUCGGUGGAUACUGCCUCUCUUGGAAGGGGCUAGGGGGAGAUGGAAUUACCGGUGUAGCGGUGAAAUGCGUAGAGAUCGGUAGGAACACCAGUGGCGAAGGCGGUCUCCUGGAGCUAUCCUUGACGCUGAGGCGCGAAAGCUGGGGGAGCGAACGGG
rnacentral:rRNA from 1 species